GCAGCACGAUCGCCGCCGGGCUCCCUUGCUCCCCCACACCCCCCUCCCGUUGGGUAAAGGAUUUAAACCUAACCUUUUCGCACGAUAGCCGCAGGAUCAUCCACUGGCAGAUAGGCCGCAUCACCUCGUCCUCCCACCCGCGCGGCGGCAACAUCAAAUCGAGGAUCAGCCGGGGCAGACUCAACUCUUCUGUUAAGGUUCAUUCAUUGAAUUGAAAAGGAAAGGCAUUUCCAGAGAAUGGCAAAAUCAAGGUACAUUUAUCAACUUGAAAUUCUGCAUAUCCGAUGCUUUAAAUUACCAGGUUGACUAAUA